UACGUAGGGUGCGAGCGUUAAUCGGAAUUACUGGGCGUAAAGCGUGCGCAGGCGGUUCGUUGUGUCGGCGGUGAAAGCCCCGGGCUCAACCUGGGAAUGGCGAUGGAUACUGGGCAGCUAGAGUGUGUCAGAGGAUGGUGGAAUUCCCGGUGUAGCGGUGAAAUGCGUAGAGAUCGGGAGGAACAUCAGUGGCGAAGGCGGCCAUCUGGGACAACACUGACGCUGAAGCACGAAAGCGUGGGGAGCAAACAGG
rnacentral:rRNA from 1 species